rnacentral:rRNA from 1 species
GUCUUUUUGAAAAUAUAAAAAGUCAAGCCUGCCCACUGAUUAAUUUAAGGGCCGCGGUAUUUUGACCGUGCGAAGGUAGCGUAAUCAUUAGGUUUUUAAUUGAAAUCUUGUAUGAAUGGUUAGACAAGGGAAAAUCUGUCUCUGUUAUUAAAAAUUGAAUUUAACUUUUAAGUGAAAAGGCUUAAAUAAAUUUAAAAGACGAUAAGACCCUAUAAAGCUUGAUAUUAAAUAUUAUUUAAUUAAAUUUCAUAUAAAAUUUUUAUAAUAUAAUUUUAUUUUAUUGGGGUGAUAAAAGUAAAAAGAUUACUAACUGCUUAUGUAAAAAACAUAUAUAAUUGAAAUAAGUUUAUAAUAGAUCCUGAUUAAAGAUUAUAAGUUUAAGUUACUUUAGGGAUAACAGCGUUAUUUUUUUUGAGAGUACAUAUCGAAAAAAGAGUUUGCGACCUCGAUGUUGAAUUAAAAUUUCUUUAUAGAAGCAGAAACUAUAAAAGUUGGUCUGUUCGACCUUUAAAAUUUUACAUGAUUUGAGUUCAAACCGGCGUGAG